rnacentral:rRNA from 1 species
AUUGAACGCUGGCGGCAGGCCUAACACAUGCAAGUCGAGCGGAUGAAGGGAGCUUGCUCCUGGAUUCAGCGGCGGACGGGUGAGUAAUGCCUAGGAAUCUGCCUGGUAGUGGGGGAUAACGUCCGGAAACGGGCGCUAAUACCGCAUACGUCCUGAGGGAGAAAGUGGGGGAUCUUCGGACCUCACGCUAUCAGAUGAGCCUAGGUCGGAUUAGCUAGUUGGUGGGGUAAAGGCCUACCAAGGCGACGAUCCGUAACUGGUCUGAGAGGAUGAUCAGUCACACUGGAACUGAGACACGGUCCAGACUCCUACGGGAGGCAGCAGUGGGGAAUAUUGGACAAGGGGCGAAAGCCUGAUCCAGCCCUGCCGCGUGUGGGAAGAAGGUCUUCGGAUUGUAAAGCACUUUAAGUUGGGAGGAAGGGCAGUAAGUUAAUACCUUGCUGUUUUGACGUUACCAACAGAAUAAGCACCGGCUAACUUCGUG